AGAAAAAUGAUGGAAAUUUUAAAGUUGUCAGAAAAAGAGGAGCUCCAAUUGAAGAAUAAGGAACUGAUGGAUAAAAACCUCCAAUUGGUGGAAAAGAGAGUGUGAGAAAAGACUGAGCAAAAUAAAUAUUUUAGAUGAGCAGAUGGACAAAAAUGGAGAAUCAAAGCCUCAUUUGUAAAGUUCAAGAACAAAUUGUGGAGAAGGCAGAACUCCUGAGAGAAAAUAAUCUUAAAGAACAGAAAGACAGCAAUAAUUUCAAAGAUGUCAGAAACAGCAGAGCUUUGAAUGAAGAACGAGAAGCUUACGUUUUAAAAUCUUGAAAUAAUUGAAGAAAAAGAAGUGUUCUGCAAAUAUUUCAAAGAAAGACUGAGCAGGGGAAUCCAUGGAAUCACAGGGUCUUUGAUCCUUCCUCCAGCCUGGAGAGAGGAUGGUCCAGCCAGCAACAGUUGAAGAAAACAGGUGAGUUCCAGGCAUCAUCUUCAUUCCUGUCCAAAGCUGCUACACAGCCUGAGAGACAAACCACAUGAUCAAAAAACAGCAUCAACCAUAUAUUCGAAAGAGGAAAAACCCAGAUUUGCAGAAACUCAAACAUCUCGUAAUCCAAGCCUUCACACCACCAACCUGCUGCAGCGUAAUAAAACUG